rnacentral:rRNA from 1 species
CGGUAAUUCCAGCUCCAACAGUGUAUAUUAACACUGCUGCAGUUGAAACGCUCGUAGUUGGGAAUUUGUUGUAUAAUAUUGGUCUAUCCUAGAGGUCAGUACUUUAUAUGAAUGCAGCAUCGUCUUGAUUAUCUUUCUACACUUAACUGUGUAUUUUGUUGAAUCAAUCCGUAUACUUUGAAGAAAUGAGAGUGUUUCAAGCAACUUUAUUUAAGGAUAUAUUAGCAUGGAAUAACACAUUACGACCUCAUAUUGUGUCUGUUGGUUGCCGAGAUCGGGUAACAAGGAGGAGGAUAAUUGGUGGUAUUUAUAUUGCACAGUCAGAGGUGAAAUUCUUGGAUUUUUGCAAGAUGAUCGAUUGCGAAAGCAUUUGUCAAGAGUGUUUUUAUUGAUCAAGAACGUAAGUUAAGGGAUCGAAGACGAUCAGAUACCGUUGUAGUCUUAACCGUAAACCAUGUCGCCUAGAAAUUGGCGGGUAUAUAUUAUCAUCCCGUCAGCAACUUGAGAGAAAUCACAGUUUUUGGAUUCCGGGGGGAGUAUGAUCACAAGAUUGAAACUUAAAGGAAUUGACGGAAAGGCACCACCAGGGGUGGAGCGUGCGGCUUAAUUCGACUCAACACUGGAAAAUUUAUCAGGUCCAAACAUAGAAACGAUUGACAGAUUGAUUGUCUUUUCUUAAUUCUGUGGGGUGGUGGUGCAUGUCCGUUCUUAGUUGGUGGAGUGAUUUGUCUGGUUAAUUUCGAUAACGAUCGAGAUCUUGACCUGCUAAAUCGAUGCAAGAUGUAUAUAUAAUCGUGUUAUCUUAUUAGACGAAACAUUUGAGCAAAGCAGAAGGAAGAUUAAGGUCAUAUCAGGUCUGUGAUGACAUUUGAUGUCUUGAGCUGCCCGCGCGCUGCACCGAAUCACUUCGCAAGGAUUCCAUCUGGUAUGAAAGGAGUGUGAAAUCUUAUGCCCUUCGCCUCGUGAUGGGGCCUGUUCAUUGUAAUUACUGAACCGUAGGCGAGGAAUGCAUAGUAAGUUCAUCUCUUCAAUCUGUUUGAGUUAAGUCCC